CUCAUUUUCAGUGAGACCCCCUGUUAUGCUUUCUUCAACUUCUAAAACCAGAUCUGGUCGUCUCCAUGUUAACAACAAGAGAUCAAAUGGUAAUGUCAAAAGACUUGGUUAGAUGUAUGAGAUUUUCAUUCAGUUGAGCAUUCACUUAAGAUUAAUCACAUAGGGUAAAGAGAAUGGAGGAAGGCCACGAAAUGCGAGUUCAGAAAGUUUUAUCUUAUUGUCAUUGCAUAAUAGAGACUGUAUGUCAUGGACCUUUUCUUUGGAAUUCUUACCCCAAAAUUAUGAAGAAUCAUGAAGGAUUAUGUAGGCUGAAAGUAUAGAUUUGCUUAAACUACGUUACAUUCAUAUUACUAUGUUCAGUCCAGGUUUGGAAGAGUCGUUGUUGAGUAAGGGAACAUUCUCUACUGGUAAGACGUACUAGGCUUUAAUGCUCGACCAACAGCUGCAGGAAGUGGACGGAAACUUUUGGGUCCUUUCUAAUUUGUACUAUUGUUAUGGCCGUCUCUAAAUGAUUCAACGGUACUUAUGUAUACCUGUACAACUUGAAAACACGUGCAACGCAUGUGCCCUUCACUAUUAUCAUAUAUCACAUCUAAAUGGUGGGUU